ACUCCUACGGGAGGCAGCAGUGGGGAAUAUUGCACAAUGGGCGCAAGCCUGAUGCAGCCAUGCCGCGUGUGUGAAGGAAGGCCUUCGGGUUGUAAAGCACUUUCAGUCGUGAGGAAUGGUAGUGUAGUUAAAUAGCUCGCAUUAUUUGACGUUAGCGACAGAAUGAAGCACCGGCUAACUCCGUGCCAGCAGCCGCGGUAAUACGGAGGGUGCGAGCGUUAAUCGGAAUUACUGGGCGUAAAGCGCAUGCAGGUGGUUUGUUAAGUCAGAUGUGAAAGCCCGGGGCUCAACCUCGGAAUUGCAUUUGAAACUGGCAGACUAGAGUACUGUAGAGGGGGGUAGAAUUUCAGGUGUAGCGGUGAAAUGCGUAGAGAUCUGAAGGAAUACCGGUGGCGAAGGCGGCCCCCUGGACAGAUACUGACACUCAGAUGCG
rnacentral:rRNA from 1 species